UACGGGGGGAGCAAGCGUUGUUCGGAUUUACUGGGCGUAAAGGGCGCGUAGGCGGCCAGCACAAGUCAGUUGUGAAAUCUCCGAGCUUAACUCGGAAAGGUCAACUGAUACUGCGGGGCUAGAGUGCAGAAGGGGCAACUGGAAUUCUCGGUGUAGCGGUGAAAUGCGUAGAUAUCGAGAGGAACACCUGCGGCGAAGGCGGGUUGCUGGGCUGACACUGACGCUGAACUGCGAAAGCUAGGGGAGCGAACGGG
rnacentral:rRNA from 1 species